rnacentral:rRNA from 1 species
CAAUAGCGAAUACUAAUUCUGCUGCAGUUAAAAGCUCGUAGUUGAACUUCUGGUAGGGCGGAUCCGGUCGUUGGGCGAAUGCCCUCUGUUACUGUGUGUCUCGUCUGGCCAUCCUCGGCAACGCAAGUUGUCGUCUUUCACUGUAAAAAAUUAGGGUGUUUCAAGCAAAAGUUAUUUGGAAUAUAUUAGUAUGGGAUGAUAAGAUAGGCUCUGGAUGCUAUUUUGUUGGUUUGCACAUUUAGAGAAUGAUUAACAGGGACAGUUGGGGGUAUUCAUAUUUACAUGUCAGAGGUGAAAUUCUUGGAUUUUGGAAAGAUGAACUACUGCGAAGGCAUUUACCAAGGAUGUUUUCAUUAAUCAAGAACGAAAGUUAGGGGAUCGAAGAUGAUUAGAUACCAU